rnacentral:rRNA from 1 species
CUUGAUGGAGGGGAGCGGCAGACGGGAGAGUAACACGUGGGAACGUACCCUUUGGUUCGGAACAACCCAGGGAAACUUGGGCUAAUACCGAAUAAGCCCUUACGGGGAAAGAUUUAUCGCCGAAGGAUCGGCCCGCGUCUGAUUAGCUAGUUGGUGAGGUAACGGCUCACCAAGGCGACGAUCAGUAGCUGGUCUGAGAGGAUGAUCAGCCUCACUGGGACUGAGACACGGCCCAG